AUUGAACGCUGGCGGCAGGCCUAACACAUGCAAGUCGAACGAGUGGCGGACGGGUGAGUAAUGUCUGGGAAACUGCCCGAUGGAGGGGGAUAACUACUGGAAACGGUAGCUAAUACCGCAUACCAUCGGAUGUGCCCAGAUGGGAUUAGCUAGUAGGUGGGGUAACGGCUCACCUAGGCGACGAUCCCUAGCUGGUCUGAGAGGAUGACCGGCCACCCUGGAACGGAGAAACGUUCCAGACCCCUCCGGUAGGCAGCAGGGGGGAAUAUUGCACAAUGGGGGAAAGCCUGAUGCAGCCAUGCCGGGUGUAUGAAGAAGGCCUUCGGGUUGUAAAGUACUUUCAGCGGGGAGGCGUUACCCGCAGAAGAAGCACCGGCUAACUCCGUGCCAGCAGCCGCGUAAUAC
rnacentral:rRNA from 1 species